GAAUUCACAAAGGAGGUUUAGAUUUAACCCAGGCUAAAUCGCGUCAUAAUACGUCAUAACCCCGAGCUUUAGACCAUGGGUCAUUAUUUUGGUAUUCACAAAGGAAGUUUAGAUUUAACCCAGGCUAAAUCGCGUCAUAUUACGUCAUAUUUUUAGCCUGCUCAGAAGGGUGGUUUAAACAGCGGGCUAAAUCUAACCCACGGUUUAACCCACGGUUUAACGCGUCAUAUGACGUCAUACCAGCGAGCUUUGGCUUUUUAGCGCAGACGACCGUACAAAUUUUGUUGACAAAUUUGUGGUGAAACAAAGUGAAGAGACCUUCACAAAGUUGCUGUUUUUUCAACUUUGAUAGCCUACAUUAGACAGCAUGGCUGAAUAUAUUCCCCAUCUCCGCCAGCUUGAUCGGAACAGAGAGUUAAUAGGCAGACCUCAGAGAGGCCUUCGUGACCCAUGAACCCUUUUGAAGUGUAUGAUGACGAGUCAUUUCGGACCAGGUACUGGUUUUCCAAAGAGACAGCGCUCUACCUCAUCAACUUGGUGGAUGAAGAGCUGAGGAGGACGACAGACAGAAACGACCCAAUACCUAUACAGGUAGUGACAGCACUUCGAUUCUAUGCUGUUGGGUCAUUCAAAAAGAUGCAUGGUGAUGAGGCACAACUUUCACAUUCUUCUGUAUGCAGAGUCAUCAAAGACGUGUCAGAAGCGUUUGCAAGAAGAAGGAAACAAUUCAUGAAGUUCCCAACAUCAAGAGAAGAAGUAGAAGCAACACAGCAGCAGUUCUACCAAUACUGCAGGUUGCCAGGUUUUCUCCUGGUGGAGAUCAAGC